rnacentral:rRNA from 1 species
UACGGAGGGGACUAGCGUUGUUCGGAAUUACUGGGCGUAAAGCGCGCGUAGGCGGAUUUGCAAGUCGGGUGUGAAAUCCCCAGGCUUAACCUGGGAACUGCAUUCGAGACUGCAUUGCUAGAGUAUGGGAGAGGGAAGUGGAAUUUCCGGUGUAGCGGUGAAAUGCGUAGAUAUCGGAAGGAACACCAGAGGCGAAGGCGGCUACCUGGACAAUUGCUGACGCUCAGGCACGAAAGCGUGGGGAGCAAAAGGG